UCUUCUUCUUUCUUUCUCCAGCAAAAGCUAGCUCUGCGUCUUCCUUCUCUCACCACCACCACCACCACCGAUCUCUUCUCUUUCACCCCUCUCUAUACAAAAAGAUUGUUGAAUCUGUAUAUCUGAUCUUUCUCAAGUAAAAACCAUAAUAUUUCUUACAAGGUUAGGGUUUGAAUCCCAAAGAAAACUGCAGCUUAGGAGUUAUUCGAUAUUUUAAGGGUGGUUAGGGUUUUCAAUCUCUCGAGGAGUCGUCUUCAUCAAGCCUAUGAUAAUGGUAGAGAUGAUGCCCCACCUCAAUCAGAUGUUUAAAUGUUCAAGUUAAUUUCUUAAUCAAUGAAUUCUUCCCAAGGAUUAGGUUUUCAGAGUAGAAGACUUGAUUAUGGCAAUUCAAUGGCACCAAAGAGUAGAAAGCCCUAGCUCCCAAAAUCUUCAAAACCAGCUAAAUCUGGUGGUUGUAAACAAAAGAAGAACGCAGGAAGUUGUGGGAAAUCUAAUCCUUUUAUUCUUCUGAAAGGGCUAUGGUAUGAGUACCUUGAUAUCUUUAGUGUUGCCUUGUUGAUUAAUAUUUCAACUUAAUUUGAAACCUUUUCUUUAGAUAUGUCGUACGUAAAUUUUAGAAAAUUGUUUUCUUUGUAUACUCUAGGAUGUUAGAUUGAUUGAGUUAUAGCAUUUAUAUUUCGUUUAAAGUCUGUCUUAUUCGUUCAUGCUCUUGUGAUUGUUGUUAGCUAGGCUUGCUUGCAAUGUUGCAUCUCAAAAUCUUUGGGUGUUAUGUUUCUUCAUCCCAAGUCAUAAUGUUUGGUCGUGUUUUUCAUUAGUUUUAUGCCUCGACCAGUCACCAUGUGCUUAUUGGCUUUUGUUAAUGAAAUUCUUAGAUGAAACUAAUUUCCUUAGGAUACUUGAGUCUCUUUCUAGGUCAGGGUAUACAUUCCCGCUCGAGUUAUUUCUCAGUGUAUUGUUGGAGCCAUAUUUCCAUCUUUCAGUUGAAAUAUUUCCCAGUUUCCUACCACAGUGAGAAUAGCAUAUUGAAUAUCAGUAUCAUUUCUGGCAUUUGUUUAGUCUGAUAUGCAUAUAGAACGUAUGCAACUUUUAUGUGCUUCCCAAUAUUUUUUUUCAAUAGUUCUGUCUGUCCUAGGGUGUUCAAUUUAAUAUGCUAAGUGUCUAUUUUGUUAUCCUUGUGCAGAGCUUCUGCAAGUCUUUUGUACGUCGGCUUUCUCCGUUGCUUCUGAUGGUAUCCUCUUGGAGAUAUCCAUCAGGUAGAGUUGAGUCAUGUAUGUGUCCCAUUUGUUCCUUAUUUGUAAUAACCUUACAUCUGAACCCAAUAAUUGGAUUUACCACCACCAGAAAACGCACAUCAAGUGUGUGCAAAAUUUCUUGAACCAGGAGAAGCUGAAUAUCAGCAGACUAAAAUGGUUGUUGAGCUUGGUAGUCAUAUCAUUCAUGGUAUACAUGAUCAGAAUGGGAACCAUGUAAUUCAGAAGUGUAUCGAAUGCAUUAAGUAGAAAUUUGCUUCUAACGUUGUUAAGAAAUGUGUAACUUUUGGUGGUCCUGUUGAACGCCAGUUUUUGGUCAGUGAGAUGUUUUGUAUCUCCAAGUAUAUAUUGUUCUUCUACCUUGUGUCUGGCUAUAUACAAGUAUAUUUUUCUCGAGAAGCGAAUCCUAAAAUCAAAGCUAGACAUAGUAGUUGUUUGUUUCUUAUAUUAUUGUUUGGUUCCUUUUAUUGUGUAUUGCAAGAUAUGAUGAAUGAUCAAUUUGAUAACUAUAUAGUGCAAAAAGUACUGGAGACUCGUAAUGUUCAAAUACCUAGGUUAAAUACCUGUUAUUUAUAUGGUGGAUUUCCUUACGGUCCUCAAGAAGCUACACUGAGAAGGGGGGGUUGAUAUAGACUAUAGUGAUUGGAACUUCUAUAAGAAUAAAGUAGGUUUGGUGGAUUUGUGGAUGCUUCUUGAAGGUUUUUAAAAGGAGCUUCCAGUAUUAAUAAGGAUUUCUAUGCGUACCCUGCAAAAGCUAUCUUACCAUACUGUCAAGCACUAGAGAAGUUCGCUCCCUAUAGUUGAUCUCCACUUUUCUCAUGUCAGGUUGGAAGUGGUCCCUCGCUGGAUCUAGAAGCUCGUUUGCUUCGAUUAAUGGUUUGCCUGCAAUCAGAGUUACUACCUUGUAAUCUUAUUAGAGAGUAUCUGGAAUCAGAGUUCAAGAAAACACAAAAUUCUGGCAUAGCAUGUGGAACCAUCGUUGUUUGAGGCAUUAUUGGGGUCUCAGAGUCCAUGGAUAGCUCACCAAGACUGCUGGAUUUUCAAGGUUAUUGGUUCUAAAUGUUGGCCCUUGAUUUCAAGGUACCAGGCAAGAGCUAGUGAAGAAACUCAUAUUUGUGUCGCCCAUUUGCAUGGCUUAAGUGCUCAACAGCAAGAAAUAAGCUCUUUCAUGUUUGAUAUGAAUACAUGGAGGAGAAAAGGAAUGAAUAACUCCAGAGCUUCUGCAUUUUCAGUGAAAGUGGCGUGCGACAUUUAACACAUUGCUCUUGCUGGUUCCAGUAGAAAUGCCUCAUAAUCCAUGGUGACAACUUAAACUUAAACCUUUGGGCAUGCCUCAUGAUGCAACAGAGAUGUCCACCUAGGUAGAUGGUUUCUUUUUCCUUUAAAUUGUUAUGUAAGAACUUUGAUGUGAUAUUGAAUUUAUAGAUCUAUAUGAUUUUUGUAAUGUGCUUCAUACUUUGUGUAUGAGUUCAUCAUGGUGAAUUAAUAAGAAAACUUUCUUGAUA